AACGAACGCUGGCGGCAUGCCUAACACAUGCAAGUCGAACGAGACCUUCGGGUCUAGUGGCGCACGGGUGCGUAACGCGUGGGAAUCUGCCCUUCGGUUCGGAAUAACUCAGGGAAACUUGAGCUAAUACCGGAUAAUGACGUAAGUCCAAAGAUUUAUCGCCGAAGGAUGAGCCCGCGUAGGAUUAGCUUGUUGGUGGGGUAAUGGCCCACCAAGGCGACGAUCCUUAGCUGGUCUGAGAGGAUGAUCAGCCACACUGGGACUGAGACACGGCCCAGACUCCUACGGGAGGCAGCAGUGGGGAAUAUUGGACAAUGGGCGAAAGCCUGAUCCAGCAAUGCCGCGUGAGUGAUGAAGGCCUUAGGGUUGUAAAGCUCUUUUACCCGGGAUGAUAAUGACAGUACCGGGAGAAUAAGCUCCGGCUAACUCCGUG
rnacentral:rRNA from 2 species